rnacentral:lncRNA from 1 species
AUUUAGUAGUAUCAGAGCUACAGUUUAGCCGAUUCUCGAAUUUGACGUAGAAAACACGAGUUUAUUUAUAUAUGCCAUUAUAUAAAUUGUGAUAGUGUGAUGACUCCUGAUCAUUUUGAAUCUAUUUUCAUAUUGUAAUGUCAUCCAACCAAGCUAGAGCUGAAUCCAAGGAAGUUGAGAGUAAUGCUUCUCCUUCAAUUCAAAGAGUUUCAUCUGCGUCUGGUAGUGAAAGGCCCAUGUCUAACGAUUGAAGUGAGGAGGCAGAGCAGAC